rnacentral:rRNA from 1 species
UACAGAGGGUGCAAGCGUUGUUCGGAAUUACUGGGCGUAAAGCGCGUGUAGGCUGCGGAGUAAGUCGGAUGUGAAAUCCCUUGGCUUAACCAAGGAAGUGCAUCCGAUACUGUUUCGCUUGAGUGUCGGAGGGGAUGGCGGAAUUCCCGGUGUAGAGGUGAAAUUCGUAGAUAUCGGGAGGAACACCUGUGGCGAAGGCGGCCAUCUGGACGACAACUGACGCUGAGGCGCGAAAGCGUGGGGAGCAAACAGG